AGCGCGCCCCGAGCUGAGUGGAGCUCUUUUUCUGUUGUUGCGAUUGACAAAAAGUUCUAUUAAUAAACUAAAGUUCGAAAGCAACGACAGAAAAAAGCGGGAACGGAGCGCGGAUAUAGGC
rnacentral:sRNA from 1 species